rnacentral:rRNA from 1 species
UGGGGAAUAUUGGACAAUGGGCGCAAGCCUGAUCCAGCCAUGCCACGUGAGUGAUGAAGGCCCUAGGGUUGUAAAGCUCUUUCACCGGUGAAGAUAAUGACGGUAACCGGAGAAGAAGCCCCGGCUAACUUCGUGCCAGCAGCCGCGGUAAUACGAAGGGGGCUAGCGUUGUUCGGAAUUACUGGGCGUAAAGCGCACGUAGGCGGAUCGAUCAGUUAGGGGUGAAAUCCCGGGGCUCAACCCCGGAACUGCCUCUAAUACUGUCGAUCUGGAGUUCGAGAGAGGUCAGUGGAAUUCCUAGUGUAGAGGUGAAAUUCGUAGAUAUUCGGAGGAACACCAGUGGCGAAGGCGGCUCACUGGCUCGAUACUGACGCUGAGGUGCGAAAGCGUGGGGAGCAAACA